rnacentral:lncRNA from 1 species
GAAAGCAUUAGGGGAGCCCACGGCUACAAAACAAGUGAGAAGAGGUGGGAGAAAGAGAAACUACGCCACCUCCUCUGCAGCCGAGCGCACGCAGCAGCCUGGCGUGACAAGUGGGCGACGCCAGGGACAGAGAGUGGGGGUCCUCCGCCCGCUCCGGGGACCCUGUCGCCCACCGUGGUGCGCUGAGCAACUUUUAGCCGGCAGCCCCGCACCUGUCUCAGAGUCCCCAUCGCUCCCCACCAACCAUCAUGGGAAAAUUCUAGAAGAAUACGCUCUCGGAAUCUACGUGCGCAUCAUUUUCCUCCUCACUCCAGAGGAAGGAACCAGAAAAGAGAGCAAAGCGGUGUAGUGUUCAGCCUCAAGGCAUCUCGUUGAUUCCUAGCGUUAGAAGAACUGAGCUAACAGGAGUCUGCCACCUCUCUGCCUUGCUGAUGCACCCAGGCAGGGCUCACUGGUUUGCAGGAGUACAUGACCACAGAUCAGAGCCAUUGGCUGCACAGAUACCUGACUCUGGGCUCUCAGGAAGACUCAGGCAGAGAUGGGGAGUCGGCCUGCAAGCUGGGACGCUAGAGCUCACGUGCAGUUCUCCAUUUAGCUAGGAGGUUUCCAGGGCAACCACCGAAGCAGUAAUUAAAGAUGAAGAGCUAAAAGAGAGAAGAAUAGCAGCAACCUGGUCUCUUUUCACGGAACACAGUAAGCCACCAAAGAGGACUUCUCUGCAUCCCUAGGUGUGGCAGGAGGAAGUGGACUUGAAGCCCUUCACAGCAGGAAGCCUGGAACAGCUCUGCCAGCCAGGGAAAACACUCAUUCUUCCCAGAAUCUGCUUGGCACCCAGACUGCUCUGUUUGGACACGGCCACUUUGGACAUUUAUUUACCUUGGGGCUUGGAUGCAUCCAUCUGAUUCAUCUCUGCCUAGAGCCGUGUCUUCGAGAUGCAUUUUGAAGCUUUCUGCAUACUUGUCAUUCACCUCCAAGGCCUCCCUAGCCUCUCCUGUGUUCUCUAACAAAAA